AAUAGAACUACAAUGUGUUUCACACUUACUAUGAAAGAAGAGAAUUCAGUUCCACUUUUUUAUAUUGGAGUGGGGUACCUUGAGGUCCCCUCAAACACUUGAAGACCGCCCUCACAUCUCCCCUUCAGGCUGUGGCUGUUGUUUGUUCUUCAUUCUCAAAGAAGACCAUGACAUCAGGGAGGUGAUUCCAUGACCUCUUCAGGCUCUACAUAGAUGGAUGAGGAAAUUCAGUCCCAAAGAGGGCAAGCAGUUCAUCCAAUGGCCCCCAGCAAGUGAAUUGUUAAACCAGCCUUCAGACCACAUCUCCUGACACCAAGUGCACAGUGUUCUUUCCACUGUCAUAGAGUUCCACCUAGAUCAUAGAAUCUGACUGCAGCAAACACACAACCAAUCUUACCAUGGAGAAAGUGUUGGCUAUAGUGCCCGAGGACCUACUUCAAAUACUGCCUCUGCUGUUUAUUAUCUGCGUGACACUGGGCAAGUAACUCUGGACUUCAGUUCUGUCAUCUAUUAAAUAGGGGUAUGAGUACUAGCCAAGUUGACCUUCACAGGAGAGUUAAAUGGUAUUCUGGCAAACUUGAUCUGAUGGGAACAUGCAGGAUGAAUGGGGGUGAGGGGUUGAAAAUGGAG